GCUGUCAAUGAUGAUGAUUUGUUACGAUAUUUCGAGUUUAAUUGACCAUGAGAUAUCUUACAUGCACUACCAUCUGAGACUUG